UUCUGUUCCCUGUCCUCUCCUCUAGGGAUCCUGCCCAACCUGACUCACCCCAGCACCUUUAUAGUACGGUUGGCUGUGCAGGACCCUGAGGGCACAGAUGGCAGAACCUCAAAAGAGCCUCUGCUCUGUGCCUUAAACAAGAGCUACCCAGAUCAGCUCCUCAAAGAGGUGUGAUAUGAAAGAGAAACUUCCAUUGAGCUAUUGAUUCAUCCAAGGUGAUAUAAUCUAAUGAACAUCAGAGACAGAAUGAGAAUUUUUGACAAAGACUAUGCCUGCAAAGGAAGCUAUGUGGAGUUUUUCUGAGUACACACUUGAUAAAGUUCAUCAACAUGAAAGGAAGCAGAAUAUUCUGGACGAAGGGAGCAAUCAUGUGGAAGAUUGAG